CGCCAAUCGAAGUUACGACCGGUACAACAUUAUUAUUAUUUAUUACCAUUCGGUACGUAUUAUGCGACGUUAUUAUGUAAGUAUACUUCAUUCGCGUGCACGGUGUGUGUCGAAAUGUUUAUCCAUAUUGAGCCGUGUAUGAUGAUGAUGACGCACGUUGUGAAGGGCGCGGUCAGGGGUCAUGACUGACAACAGGACACCACGCAGCAAAUCAACAAAAAUUCCCGAUAAACAAUCUCAAAUAAAAUUUAAACGCUAUAUUAUAAUAUAAUAUAUUAAUUUCGAUUGCGCACUAAACGUUUAUAGUAUUCUCCCACAAUAUUAAUAUCGAUCUGCCAAAAGAAAACUCGCUUAAAAAACUAAAAAUCUAACUUGAAAAUAAAUUUGAAGAAUAUGAAGAAAUUGUCAAAACUUUAGACAGCUGUAAGUUGUAAUUAAUGAAUUAUUCUGUACUUUUUGCACUUUAUUUGAAAUUUAAAAAAACCCUAAAUGCUCGCCGCUAGGUAUCCUUCAAUCAACACCUCAAAAGUACUUAUAUUUUUCAACAUUUUUAGAAUAUAUGAAGCCAUGUAGGUAUUCAAUACUAUAAUACAGUAACAUGGUAAUACAUAAUAUAAUAUAUAAUAUAUAUAAUAUAUAUACGUGUUUGUAAUAUCCAUGUCUAUGUACCUAGGCUUAACUCAUGUUAAUUAAAGUAACCAGGCACGUAUACAAAAAAAAUGGGGAGGGGUUGAACCCCCCCCCUGUAUACGUGCCUGAAUGUAACUGAGAAUAAUAAUUAUAUUAUACUACGUUAUUAUUGAUUAUUGUUAAUAAUAUUAUAAUUAAGUUUAAAAACUAUUUAUUUACGAUAUUAUAAUAAAGC